UUGGUAGAGAGGUAGUUCUGUAGUUGUAUCUAGCCAGACUAGAAGGGUUCAUGCAGAUUGUUGGUAGAGAGGUAGUUCUGUAGUUGUAUACAGCCAGACUAGAAGGGUUCAUGUGGAUUGUUGGUAGAGAGGUCGUUCUGUAGUUGUAUACAGCCAGACUAGAAGGGUUCAUGUAGAUUGUUGGUAGAGAGGUAGUUCUGUAGUUGUAUCUAGUCAGACUAGAAGGGUUCAUGCAGAUUGUUGGUAGAGAGGUAGUUCUGUAGUUGUAUCUAGCCAGACUGGAAGGGUUCAUGUAGAUUGUUGGUAGAGAGGUAGUUCUGUAGUUGUAUCUAGCCAGACUAGAAGGGUUCAUGUAGAUUGUUGGUAGAGAGGUAGUUCUGUAGUUGUAUCUAGUCAGACU
ensembl:lncRNA